CUGUGUAUCGAGAACAAGAUAAAGUCGAGCAGAAUACGGACGCUUUUCAAUAAUUUUUCCUCUCUCAAAGCACUGCAUAAUUAUCGUUAUGUCUUCAAUGCACUGGGAUGUUUCGUAAUUGAUUUGAAGCUGCUUUUUGGCUUUUUCGUUUUUUUGACGAAUUAUUUACUCAUUUGCGUUCAAUUUAACAUGGCCGGCGAAUCGGAUCAUUUCGCAAAGUUUACCAAUCAG